rnacentral:rRNA from 1 species
GGUUUUAUGAAUUUAAUUUAAAAUCUGACCUGCUCAAUGAAAUUAAUUAAAUAGCUGCAGUAUAUUAACUGUACAAAGGUAGCAUAAUCAAUAGUUUUUUAAUUGAAAGCUUGUAUGAAUGGUUUGAUGAGAUAAAAACUUUUUUUAAUUAAAAAUUUAGAAUUUUUUUAUUAGUAAAAAAACUAAUUUAAUUUUAAAAGACGAGAAGACCCUAUAGAAUUUUAUUUAAAUUAAAUUUAAAUUUAAUUUAAAAUAUUAAAUUUAAAUUUAAUUUAAUUUAAUUGGGGUGAUUAUUAAAUUUAAAUAACUUUAAUUAAUUAUUAUUUUAAUUAAAAAAUAUAUGAUCCUUUAAUAAAGAUUAUAAGAUUAAAUUACCUUAGGGAUAACAGAAUAAUUUUUUUAGAGAGAUCAUAUUGAUAAAAAAGAUUAU